AUCCAGUUGGCGAGUCCCAAAUAGGACGAAAUGCGAAUCCUGGAU
rnacentral:hammerhead_ribozyme from 1 species